UCAAAAAACUAUACUCCAUGCUCUCUGUCACAAACAAAGAAUGUUCAAAUCAAGUUGCAAAUAUAUGAAAAUGAAGUAGCAGGGGAGGCCGACGAUCUGGUAAAGAAACAAAGAAUGUUCAACAAAUAUCUGAAACUGAAGUAGCAGGGGAGGCUGAUGAUCUAGUAAAGAAACAAAGAAUGUUCAACAAAUAUCUGAAACUGAAGUAGCAGGGAAGGCCGACGAUCUGGUAAAGAAACAAAGAAUGUUCAAAUCAUGCUAAUUAAAUCCGAAAUCAUGAAGUGCAUAUGGAGAGAGGUUAGGAUAGAUGGGAUUGUGGACUCACAAAAUUCGGCGGCGGUCAGGCUUGGAGUCGCCGGAUCUGGCGAUGACCCGUCCUGGUGCCCGUGCUCACGAGCUGAUCACGUCGGGGACGAGAUGGACGAGGAGGCCGCCGAGAGGCGUCGUGGAUGCCGGAUCCAGCGCCAGCCGGUGAAGCCACUACCUUGUUGCCGUCAUCGGACCCAUCGAUGGCCGGGACAGACACACCUCACCGCAAAACUACCUCGCUGAAGUUGACGAUCGCCAGAGUUGGGCGGAGGCUGGUGGGGAAGCAAAUCCGGUGGCCGGAGUUGACGGUCGCCAGAGUUGGACGGAGGCCGGCCGGUCAAG
rnacentral:lncRNA from 1 species